rnacentral:rRNA from 1 species
UACGGAAGGCAGCAGUGGGGAAUAUUGGACAAUGGGCGAAAGCCUGAUCCAGCAAUGCCGCGUGAGUGAUGAAGGCCUUAGGGUUGUAAAGCUCUUUUACCCGGGAUGAUAAUGACAGUACCGGGAGAAUAAGCUCCGGCUAACUCCGUGCCAGCAGCCGCGGUAAUACGGAGGGAGCUAGCGUUGUUCGGAAUUACUGGGCGUAAAGCGCACGUAGGCGGCUUUGUAAGUUAGAGGUGAAAGCCCUGGAGCUCAACUCCAGAAUUGCCUUUUAAGACUGCAUCGCUUGAAUCCAGGAGAGGUGAGUGGAAUUCCGAGUGUAGAGGUGAAAUUCGUAGAUAUUCGGAAGAACACCAGUGGCGAAGGCGGCUCACUGGGACUGGGUAUUGACGCUGAGGGUGCGAAAGCGUGGGGAGCAAACAGGGAUUAGAUACC